rnacentral:lncRNA from 1 species
AGUUGUAUUGAAGAAGAAGUGAUAAUAAAUCCAAGCGAGGCAAUGUCUUUCGUCUGCAGCUAGGACCUUGAUGGAGUCACGAAAAUGUAGGCCAAUCGUGCAUCCGAGCUGGGUGCAAGAUUGAUCAUCACAUUACUGUAUUUGUGUGAUGGAAUCUACAUUCAUGCAUGUUGUAUGUACGUGUACACUACACAUACUUAGUUUGUUUUUGGGAAUUGAUGCAAAAGGACAUUAUGAAAAUGAGAGACCGAUCCGAUGAUGCAUGACAGAUUGACGGGCAAAGGCAGUUAUGCAUGACACGGUGCCCAAAUGUAGGGCAUUCGGUAAUUCAGAUAAAGUGCAUGCAUAUACAUACCUUAUCAAUGCAAACAACUUGCUAAGCAAGCUAGCUAUAUGUAUAGUGUAUUGUUCCAUUGCUGCUAUAUAAGACAUCACAUAAGAGAACACACCUAGUUAGCCAGCUAGCCCUUGAACAUGGAUCAUCUG